rnacentral:rRNA from 1 species
GCAGGCUGUAAAGCAAGUCAGUGGUGAAAGCCCUGGGCUUAACUCAGGGAUUGCCAUUGAAACUGUUUUACUAGAGUGUAGUAGAGGACGGCGGAAUGAGUUGUGUAGCGGUGAAAUGCAUAGAUAUAACUCAGAACACCUAUUGCGUAGGCAGCUGUCUAUACUACAACUGACGCUGAGGCACGAAAGCGUGGGGAGCGAACAGGAUUAGAUACCCUGGUAGUCCACGCUGUAAACGAUGAUCACUCGUUGUUGGCUACUUAGUAGUCAGUGACCAAGGGAAACCGAUAAGUGAUCCACCUGGGGAGUACGUCGGCAACGAUGAAACUCAAAGGAAUUGACGGGGGCCCGCACAAGCGGAGGAACAUGUGGUUUAAUUCGAUGAUACGCGAGGAACCUUACCUGGGCUUAAAUGCUGGCUGCAUUGGAGGGAAACCUUCAUUUCCUACGGGACCGCCAGCAAGGUGCUGCAUGGUUGUCGUCAGCUCGUGCCGUGAGGUGUCGGGUUAAGUCCCAUAACGAGCGCAACCCCUAUCGCUAGUUGCCAGCAUGUAAUGGUGGGGACUCUAGCGAGACUGCCGGUGUAAACCGGAGGAAGGUGGGGAUGACGUCAAAUCAGCACGGCCCUUACGUCCAGGGCUACACACGUGUUACAAUGGCCGGUACAAAGAGCAGCCACCUGGCGACAGGGCGCUAAUCUCUAAAACCGGUCUCAGUUCGGAUCGAAGUCUGCAAUUCGACUUCGUGAAGGUGGAUUCGCUAGUGAUCGCGC